rnacentral:rRNA from 1 species
UGAGGGAUAUUGCACAAUGGGCGAAAGCCUGAUGCAGCGACGCCGCGUGGGUGAUGAAGGUCUUCGGAUCGUAAAGCCCUUUUCUGCGUGACGAGACAAGGACGGUAGCGCAGGAAUAAGUCUCGGCUAACUACGUGCCAGCAGCCGCGGUAAAACGUAGGAGGCAAGCGUUAUCCGGAGUUACUGGGCGUAAAGCGUGGGUAGGUGGUUUUGCAAGUUUGGUGUGAAAGCGCCCGGCUUAACUGGGCGAGGACAUUGAAGACUGCAAGGCUAGAGGGUGGUAGAGGGGCGUAGAAUUCCGGGUGUAGCGGUGAAAUGUGUAGAGAUCCGGAGGAAUACCAGUGGUGCAGACGGCGCCCUGGGCCAUACCUGACACUGAGCCACGAAAGCGUGGGGAGCGAACGG